rnacentral:rRNA from 1 species
GUCGAGGGAGAUUGUUGGAUUCGUCUGACAUGAAACCGGCGCACGGGUGCGUAACACGUAUGCAACCUACCUUUAACUGGGGUAUAGCUCAGAGAAAUCUGAAUUAAUCCCCCAUAAGACUACGACAUGGCAUCAUGAUGUAGUUAAAGCUCCGGCGGUUAAGGAUGGGCAUGCGGUACAUUAGCUAGUUGGUGAGGUAAUGGCUCACCAAGGCUACGAUGUAUAGGGGGUCUGAGAGGAUGAUCCCCCACACUGGUACUGAGACACGGACCAGACUCCUACGGGAGGCAGCAGUAGGGAAUAUUGGUCAAUGGACGCAAGUCUGAACCAGCCAUGCCGCGUGAAGGAUGAAGGCCCUAUGGGUCGUAAACUUCUUUUAUUAGGGAAGAAAAAAUGGGAUGCGUCCUAUACUGACGGUACUUAAUGAAUAAGGAUCGGCUAACUUCGUGCCAGCAGCCGCGGUAAGACGAAGGAUCCAAGCGUUGUCCGGAUUUACUGGGUUUAAAGGGUGCGUAGGCGGAAAAUUAAGUCAGUGGUGAAAGCCCGCAGCUCAACUGUGGAACUGCCAUUGAAACUGGUUUUCUUGAAUAUAGCUGAGGCAGAUGGAAUAUAACAUGUAGUGGUGAAAUGCUUAGAUAUGUUAUAGAACACCGAUUGCGAAGGCAGUCUGCUAAACUAUUAUUGACGCUGAGGCACGAAAGCGUGGGGAGCGAACAGGAUUAGAUACCCUGGUAGUCCACGCCCUAAACG